AGGCAAGAUGUGGAACAACUCUAGACAUGGUGUUGCAGUUGUUAGAUACAUCACACUCAAACGAUUUAAAACACUUUUUAAAAAAGUAUAACAUACUUUAGAUGCUAAGGAAUCAGGAAAAUGAGGUUAUGUCCAGGCGGGUUGUCACUUUCUGUGACUACCUCUAUUGUGUUUUUCUGGGCUAGCUCAAGACAAUUCGUGAAGGGUUACAAG